CCCUGAGGAAAGGGGCAGAUGAACGGCUGUGCAAAACAUGAGACUCAGAGAGAAGCUUAAAUACAAUCUUCACUACCAAUUGAUCAUUGGACAAUCCUGAAGACUACCAGCAAAAGCUCCAGCAAGAAAUCCGAUUAUCCGACCAACCGAGUACUUCCUCUUCAUCUUCCUGUUGGCUGUUGAAGUGUUGCAUUGAGGUAACAAACCCACAAUUUAUUUAUUUUUUCUUAAGAAAAAUAAAGAAGAAGGGGCGGCCAAUUGUUUGAAGAUGACUGGUUUUGUUGGCCAAAUUCCGUUAUUUAAGUAGUCGCUGAUUUUAAUUUAUUUAUUAGAAAUAUAAUUUUUUUUUUCAUAUUUAUAAAUACAUCUGAUCUGAACAGAAUUGUAGGCCCUCCCAUUGAAUGAUCAAACCUGAAUUCUUCGGGAUGUUGUGCCAACAUGGAAAAUUGAAUAGCCAUAUAUACAUAAAACUGAAAAAUUUAUGCGUGUGACUGUGAGCCACUGUUACAUAUAAAAUUGUUAGGCUGGCUGGUGUCUUUCAAUUUGUCAAUUUCUUUUGCUUUUGUAGUUGGUAAUUGGUAUUUCCAAAUUCCAGACUUCCGGUGACAAUGUAGUGGGGUGGAGUUCAAGAUUUGUAUGAAGA
rnacentral:lncRNA from 1 species